GCUGGCGGUAUGCUUAACACAUGCAAGUCGAGCGGCAGCGAGGUUAGUAGCAAUACUAACUGUCGGCGAGCGGCGGACGGGUGAGUAACACGUAGGAAUCUACCCAAAAGCGGGGGACAACCCGAGGAAACUCGGGCUAAUACCGCAUAAAUUCUAAGGAAAAAAGCUGGGGCAACCUGGCGCUUUUGGAGGAGCCUGCGUCCGAUUAGCUAGUUGGUAGGGUAAAAGCCUACCAAGGCGACGAUCGGUAGCUGGUCUGAGAGGAUGAUCAGCCACACUGGGACUGAGACACGGCCCAGACUCCUACGGGAGGCAGCAGUGGGGAAUAUUGGACAAUGGGGGCAACCCUGAUCCAGCAAUACCGCGUGUGUGAAGAAGGCCUUCGGGUUGUAAAGCACUUUAGGCGGGGAAGAAGGUUGGU
rnacentral:rRNA from 1 species